AAUAAGGUCAUUUAAAUUUAUUAAUACAUCAAUGUGAAGAUUACUAAAAUAAACAGCCUCCUCCAUUCCCCCUGACCCCCAUCCCCCGCCCCAGAAAUAUCUAUGACUGUAUCAAGGAUGGAAAAAUCAAAUGCUCUGGUGUUCCUUCCAAUCUGGGACAACAUACUUUAGAAAAAAUACUGGAGGGUAGCAAACAUUGUAUUUGAAAUCACCUUGCCCUUUUCUGUGACUUCUCCAGCUCUCCAUCACUUUCUUUUCCUCUUUUCUGGGCAAUACUCCAUCCUUGCCUCCAAGCCCCCUAGUACCUAGGUGCCAUGUCUUCAUCUCUCUCUCCCAUUCGAACCUUCCCAAUUUCCUGUGUAUUUGCUCCCAGGAGGCUCACGUUCAGUCCCGUAGCCUAUCCGCCCUUCUCAGCCCAGAGCUCUUCCCUCAGAGUGCAGUGCAGCCAUCUGCUCGGGAACCUGUGCUGAUGGGAUAGCAGUUGAUAAUGAGUUACUUGUUCAUCUCCUGGGUAACCUGUUUGCUUUUUAACUGGAGCCUCCUAGGGCCAGUGCCUGUGAGGGGAAGAGCUUUAGAAAGUCAGCCUGAGAGAGGGGCACCGUGUGGAGGGAAUUUCUCGGUCAAGUUCAAACUUGAUCUGUCUAGUAUUUUCCAGGUCUCUGGAGUUCCAUCUGCCUCCAGAACUGAAGUCAAAGGUGAAACAUAACCACCAGCUUGGCCUGAAUUUGAUAGGGGCUGCAGAAGAGAGGAUGUUCUGGCCACACUUACAUUACUCCAGCAGUCUCAAUCGGCUACCUCCUUGGGGUUAUAAUUCUGUUGGCUUUUUUCCCCAGUUGGUCCAGAAAGGGGAAUGACAAGAUGAAGACAGGAAGACAGGAACACUUUUCUCUGCUUUUCCCAUAAUCUCUGCAUGUGAAUGGAGACCUGUUUAUGGUCACUUAUUACCACCCCCUGUCUCUCCCCGAUAUUUUGGCUUCAUUUACAGUGGGGAUUAACAUGAUCUAGAGGCAGCCUUCUGGGUUCUUUUGUGAUAAUCUAAAAAUAAACAAAGCCCAAAGGAUCCAUUUCUUCUUCCCAUUAAUUUGAAGAAAGGCAGAUGGUGCCCAAUAACCUGAUUUGAAUUGCCAAUAAAGUGCGUCAUUUUUUUACUAACUUGCCAUUAAAUUUUAACGGAUGGUGUCCAUGGUGCAGAAUGAGCUCCAAGAGAGGUUAUUCAAAGCCCGUGGGGUGGGAUAGUGAGCAGUCAGUCUGUGUCCACACAACCUCCCUGAGGAGGAGGAGAUUUGGAGCAACGAGAGAGGCUGCAGAGGGCUCUGAACUGUUGAGAAUCUAGGGAAAAAUGCAGAAAGGGGUGUUCCGAGGGCAGUCACUAAAGGCUGGCUGAAGGAGUGAUGCAAACUUUUGAUGGGUGGAAAGCAUACAUUUUAGUGAAGAGGGAAGAAAACACAACCAAGUUCUCCAAAAGCCCAGUAGAAUAAACACAAGCUGCCACUUGGAAAACAAUUCUGAAGAAAAGCCCAUCUGGGGAGAAAAAGUGAGGCAAUCCAAAAAGCCGCCAAGUGACCACAUUUCUGGAGUAAGUUUUUACAGUUCACAGAGACCAUGACUCUUUUCUCCCCUUGGCAUGAUAUAUGAUGAGCAUGGUGUCAAACAGCUCGUGGUGACAUUGCCUUUGCUCUUUGGGCUUGUGGCAGGGAAUGGGUGAAAAAGGCAAAUUCAACCUUUCUGUGGCAGACCUUGAUUGGAAACAACGUGUGAACAUUUUACCUGGUGAUGAGCCCUGAGUUUUACAUCAGCCAACAGCCAUGGCAGCAGAUGACAGAAAAAAACGGAAUCUUUUCCAGACUUGGAGAAAGAUAAAUCUGAAAAGGAGUUUUUCCCUAUAGACCAGCUCUGCUUAGGAGAUACUCACUGUGAGUUGUCAGAUCAGGGAACUUUGAGGUGCAUAUUUAUAAAAAACUUCCCACAGUAUUCCAAAGUAGAUGUGCCAUUUUAUCCUCCAAACAGCAAUGUAUUAGAGUUCCAGUGGUUUCCAAAGCCCCUGUCAACAUUUGGAUUGUCCGUCUUUUUUGAUUUUAGCCAUCCUAAUGGCAAAAGCCAUCUCCCAUGUAACCACAUGCUUCAGGAGAAGCUGACCCUACACCUAGCUCCACUGGUGAGUCUAAUUGGUCCAAGGGUCGUCUUGGUCCCUUUGCCAGAGAUUGGCUUAUGGGGUGAAUGAUCCAACUCCAGCCAAUGAAACAUUAGGGGAAUCUGCUGAAGGAUUUCCAAAAAGAGUUUCCUCAUUCCAAACAGAAAACCAUAAGAAAGGAAUGUCAUGCCUAUAAUUGCUGCAGCUAUUUUAAUUCCAAGUAUGAGGUUGAAACAAUCAUGGAUGGCCAAGUGAAGAGAUGGAAAAAGCAGGAUUCAGGAUAACUUUAUUUUUUUGGAAGAUGACCAAAAUGCUAUCUCUAUUUGGAGAUAAUAAUUAGUCUCAUCUUCAUUGGCUUCUUCUCGAAUGCGGAGGGAAUUAUCGGAUGAGUACAUUGGAACAUGGUCGCCAUGUGGCCUGCUGCCCCCGUGUACCACUUGGAGACCAGCCUAGCAUGGAAAUGACCAGAUGUUGGAAGCUGAGCUACUGGUGAGUGAAAUAAAUAAGUUAGCUGUCCCACUUCCCAUCUGCAUGGACAGCUUCUGCAUUGCGAAACUGCAGGUGCUUGUCAUUUCACAUGGCAGCAGUUAAUCUCUUAACCCCUUCCUAAACUUGGCAUUGGAAAGCCCUAGAUGGCCAAUUAGGCUGUGUGGGUGUAUGUACACUAGUGCCCAUCUGCCACAGGAAUGGAAGCAGUGGCUCAACUCACAUCAGUACCCAGAUACACAGAUGCUCCGGGAUCUGAGGAAGUGACCUAUAGAAAAUGAAAAAUGACCAGGUAAAGGCAAUACGAAGGGAAGUAGAGGGGCUUAUUAGGCAGCUCUGGACAAGCAGAGAAAAGUGAUGGUUCAACACGUAGGGUGCGCCAAAAAUGGGCUUGUUUCACUGGUUAUUUGAACACAGAAGCAGGGCUGUCUCCCUCUCUCUCUCUCUUUCUCUCCAUUCAUUAAUUAUUUUUCUGAGUAGGCUAAUAAUAUAUGCUUUUUGUGAAACAUUUGAGAAAUGGAAGAAAGUAUAAGAAAAAAAUAAAAAUCACUUAUACAUGUAUCUUCUAAUAUUUCAUUAUAUCUAUACAGGCCCUUUUCUUUCUAGUUUUGUGAUCAUUUAUUCAGUCAACAUUUCCACAAAUAUUUAAUGCAUUUUGUAUGUGUCAGGCACCAUACCAGGCACUAAGAAUAUAGUCGUGAUCAAUAAUUGGCAUAAUUCCUUAUCUCAUAGAACUUUGGGUCUAGCAGAAGUGACAUAUAAACACACAACUGCAUUAAGAAUUAUUUAAUCUCAAAUUUCACAAGCUCUGCAAAGAACAAGUACUAAGUCUUCGGGAAGAAUUGGGAAGUCUGGAUGUAGGGAGUGAACCUAAAAGAAAAACUUUGAAGCUGAGACUAGACUAGUCAGAAACUGCUGGCCAGGGGUGAAUGUGUUGGUCCUAGAGGGGUAGAGUAGGGGCACGCUAGGAAUAGAAAGGAAAAUUGCUGGUGGAGGGAACAGCUUGCCUGAGGUCCUGAUGAGGAGACAGUGACUAGAUGGGGGUGAAAUGGCUUUGUGGAAAUUAGAAAGAAAAAUAGGAGCCAGAUCCUACAAGACAAGUGUUGACAAACAAUAGCCCAGAGGCCAAAUCCAGCACCCCACCUGUUUUUGUAAAUAAAAUUUUAUUGGAACAGAGCCACACCCACUCAUUUAUAUGUCUGUGGUUGUUUUCACACCAUGCUGGCAGUGAUGAAUAGUUGUUACAGAGACUGCAGGGUCCACAUAGCUUAAAAUAUUUACUAUCUGGCCCUUUCCAGAAAACUUUGCUGACCUCUGCUAUGGGGUUUUGUGGCUGAGCGUAUGGUGGAAUUCUUUUAUCACAAGUACAAUGGAAAGGCUUUGAGACGAAAGCAAGGAAGACAUCAUCAGAUUUUUCUUUAAAAGAACUCUAGCUAUGGAAGCAUGUAGAGAUUAGAACUGGGGACUCUGGGUGGAUAUUGGGCAUCUAAGAGUAUCCAGGAGACAGUGGUUGAUGGUUUGGACUCCAUUUGUGCCAAGUGGGCACAGGAAAAAAGAGACAGAUUUGAGAUCUCUUUAGCAUUUGUAUCAGACAGGACUUGGUGGCUGAUUGGGGAGGGGAAGUAAGGAUAGAGAGGUGUUCAGGAACACCCAGGUUUCUGCCUGGUGCACCUGCAUGGAUGAGGGUGUCAUCAACCAGAUGGGGAGCCAUGGAGGAGAAGCAAGAUUGAGAGGGAAAGUCAGGAGGUUUUAGUGCCUGUCUAGUUUAAUCACAAUGGGUAAUACAAUAAAUCCCCUAUUAAUGAACAUGUAGAUUUUUUCUAUUAUUUUUCUUUUUUAAAUAAUGCUGCAAUGCAGCAAAAGGAACAGUCAGCAGAGUAAAUAGACAACCCACAGAGUGGGAGAAAUCUUCACAAUCUAUACAUCUGGCAAAGAACUAAUAUCCAGAAUCUACAGCGAACUCAAACAAAUCAGUAAGAAAAAAUAAACAAUCCCAUCAAAAAGUGGGCUAAGCACAUGAGUAGACAAUUCUCGAAAGAAGACAUACAAAUGGCCAACAAACAUAUGAAAAAAAUGCUCAAAAUCACUAAUGAUCAGGGAAAUGCAAAUCAAAACCACAAUGCAAUACAACCUUACUCCUGCAAGAAUGACCAUAAUAAAAAAAUAAAAAAAAUUAGAUGUUGGACUGGAGGCAGUGAACAGGGAACACUUCUACACUCCUGGUGGGAAUGUUAACUAGUACAGCCAGUAUGGAAAACACUGCGGAGAUUCCUUAAAGAACUGAAAGUAGAACUACCAUUUGAUCCAGCAAUCCCACUACUGGGUAUCUACCCAGAGGAAAAGAAGUCAUUAUUUGAAAAAGACACUUGCACAGGCAUGUUUAUAGUGGCACAAUUCACAAUAGCAAAAUCGUGGAAGCAACCCAAAUGCCCAUCAGUCGACGAAUGAAUAAAGAAACUGUAUAUAUAUAUAUAUAUAUAUAUAUAUAUAUAUAUAUAUACACACACACAUAUAUAUACACACACACAUAUAUAAACAUAUAUGUAUAUACACACAUAUAUAAACAUAUAUAUACGCAUACAUAUACAUACACACACACACACACACACACACACACACACACAAUGGAAUACUAUGCAGCCAUAAAAAGGAAUGAAUUGACAGCAUUUGCAGUGACCUGGAUGACAUUGGAGACUAUUAUUCUAAGUUAAGUAACUCAGGAAUGGCAAAGCAAACAUCAUAUGUUCUCACUGUUACGUGAGAGCUAAGCUACAAGGAUGCAAAGGCAUAAGAAUGAUACAAUGGACUUUGGGGACUUGGGGGAAAGGGUGGGAGGGGAGCAAGGGAUAAGAGACUACAAAUAUAGUGUGGUGUGUACCGCUCGGGUGAUGGGUGCACCAAAAUCUCACAAAUCACCACUAAAGAACUUACUCAUGUAACCAAACACCACCUGUACCCAAAUAACUUAUGGAAAAAAUAAAAUAAAAUAAAAAUAAUGCUGUGAUGAAUUCAUUUGUGCAUAUAUCUCAUUGUUUCCUUAGACUAC
rnacentral:lncRNA from 10 species